GGGGGCGACAUGGUUUCGACGGGGACAGUUGACGCUUUGGGUUGCGUGCCGGGCUCCGCUCGCCCGUAAAACCAGCGGAACGGCUAUAAACGCCGACACUAACUACGCACUGGCCGCUUAACUGACGGCCACGUCCGACCGGACUCGCCCGUUGGGCCGGACCCGGGCGUCGAUUAGACGGGCUGGCCACAGGCUCCUCGGCCGGUGGAGGCCUGAAGGCGAGAUUAAUGCUGGCUCGCUGAUUCCGGACCGCUUCCGCGGGGGACGGAUCGGCUAAAACUAAAACGCGGAAAACGCACGUAGUAGCCUGGGGCUGAAGGUCUCCGGACGCGGGUUCGAUUCCCGCCGCCUCCACCA
rnacentral:tmRNA from 1 species